rnacentral:rRNA from 1 species
UACAGAGGUGGCAAGCGUUGUUCGGAAUUACUGGGCGUAAAGGGCGCGUAGGCAGCCCUCCUUGUCGCGUGUGAAAGCCCCGGGCUCAACCUGGGAACGGCGCGCGAGACGGGGGGGCUGGAGUUCGGGAGAGGAGCGUGGAAUUCCCAGUGUAGAGGUGAAAUUCGUAGAUAUUGGGAGGAACACCCGUGGCGAAGGCGGCUCCCUGGUCCGUUUCUGACGCUGAGACGCGAAAGCGCGGGGAGCGAACGGG